AUUCCCUUGCGAAUUCUCUCACACCAAGCGUCAUUUCCACACCCUUAAAAAAACCUCAAAGAAACGCUCGAAAAUGGAAGCAGAAUCCUCAGUCAAGUUCGACCCGCAGAUCCUGUUGUCGAAAAUCGAGCCGCUGACGAUGUUGGAUCUGUGCGAUCGGUGGUCUCCGAUGGACAGGCGACCGGAGAAUUAGAAAUGACUGACCCGGCUUCUCGGUGUCGUGCGAUGGAUAGUUACCUCGGGACGUGAAUGUUCGAAGAUGGGUCUCGUUCGAGUCGCUCCACUGCGAUCCAGGAAUCGGAGGGGUCGGACUGUGGCUUCCAUCGCCAAUGCUGAACCUAAGGACUGCAGAGAUGCGACUCCGAGCUUCGGCAUUUUCAACACUCGAGCUGAGAAGUCUUGAGUAAAAUGUAGUAUCAAUUUUUCCCGAAAAUCUGAUCUGCAAAUAUCUGCAAAUAUUGUCAUCCGAAGAAGUAUCAAGGGUGGUUGGUUCGAUCUA